ACGGAGGCAGCAGUGAGGAAUAUUGGUCAAUGGGCGCAAGCCUGAACCAGCCAUGCCGCGUGAAGGAUGACGGCCCUAUGGGUUGUAAACUUCUUUUUUACGGGACGAAACUACUCUACGUGUAGGGUACUGACGGUACCGUAUGAAUAAGCAACGGCUAACUCCGUGCCAGCAGCCGCGGUAAUACGGAGGUUGCAAGCGUUAUCCGGAUUUAUUGGGUUUAAAGGGUGCGUAGGCGGGAUAAUAAGUCAGUGGUGAAAACCUGCAGCUUAACUGUAGAACUGCCAUUGAUACUGUUAUUCUUGAGUAUAGUUGAGGUGGGCGGAAUGUGUAGUGUAGCGGUGAAAUGCUUAGAUAUUACACAGAACACCGAUUGCGUAGGCAGCUCACUAAACUAAAACUGACGCUGAGGCACGAAAGCGUGGGGAUCAAACAGGAUUAGAUACCCCGGUAGC
rnacentral:rRNA from 1 species